rnacentral:rRNA from 1 species
GGGGAAUAUUGCACAAUGGGGGAAACCCUGAUGCAGCGACGCCGCGUGGAGGAAGAAGGUCUUCGGAUUGUAAACUCCUGUUGUUGAGGAAGAUAAUGACGGUACUCAACAAGGAAGUGACGGCUAACUACGUGCCAGCAGCCGCGGUAAAACGUAGGUCACAAGCGUUGUCCGGAAUUACUGGGUGUAAAGGGAGCGCAGGCGGGAAGACAAGUUGGAAGUGAAAUCCAUGGGCUCAACCCAUGAACUGCUUUCAAAACUGUUUUUCUUGAGUAGUGCAGAGGUAGGCGGAAUUCCCGGUGUAGCGGUGGAAUGCGUAGAUAUCGGGAGGAACACCAGUGGCGAAGGCGGCCUACUGGGCACCAACUGACGCUGAGGCUCGAAAGUGUGGGUAGCAAACAGGAUUAGAUACCCUGGUAGUCCACACCGUAAACGAUGAUUACUAGGUGUUGGAGGAUUGACCCCUUCAGUGCCGCAGUUAACACAAUAAGUAAUCCACCUGGGGAGUACGACCGCAAGGUUGAAACUCAAAGGAAUUGACGGGGGCCCGCACAAGCAGUGGAGUAUGUGGUUUAAUUCGACGCAACGCGAAGAACCUUACCAAGUCUUGACAUCCUGCGACGGUGCUAGAAAUAGUAUUUUCCUUCGGGACGCAGAGACAGGUGGUGCAUGGUUGUCGUCAGCUCGUGUCGUGAGAUGUUGGGUUAAGUCCCGCAACGAGCGCAACCCUUAUGGUCAGUUACUACGCAAGAGGACUCUGGCCAGACUGCCGUUGACAAAACGGAGGAAGGUGGGGAUGACGUCAAAUCAUCAUGCCCUUUAUGACUUGGGCUACACACGUACUACAAUGGCGUUAAACAAAGAGAAGCAAGACCGCGAGGUGGAGCAAAACUCAGAAACAACGUCCCAGUUCGGACUGCAGGCUGCAACUCGCCUGCACGAAGUCGGAAUUGCUAGUAAUCGUGGAUCAGCAUGCCACGGUGAAUACGUUCCCG